GGACAUGGCGGCAUGCUAUACAUGCAGUCGUACGCUUCUUUUUCCCCGGAGCUUGCUCCACCGGAAAAAGAAGAGUGGCGAACGGGUGAGUAACACGUGGGUAACCUGCCCAUCAGAAGGGGAUAACACUUGGAAACAGGUGCUAAUACCGUAUAACAAUCGAAACCGCAUGGUUUUGAUUUGAAAGGCGCUUUCGGGUGUCGCUGAUGGAUGGACCCGCGGUGCAUUAGCUAGUUGGUGAGGUAACGGCUCACCAAGGCCACGAUGCAUAGCCGACCUGAGAGGGUGAUCGGCCACAUUGGGACUGAGACACGGCCCAAACUCCUACGGGAGGCAGCAGUAGGGAAUCUUCGGCAAUGGACGAAAGUCUGACCGAGCAACGCCGCGUGAGUGAAGAAGGUUUUCGGAUCGUAAAACUCUGUUGUUAGAGAAGAACAAGGAUGAGAGUAACUGUUCAUCCCUUGACGGUAUCUAACCAGAAAGCCACGGCUAACUACGUGCCAGCAGCCGCGGUAAUACGUAGGUGGCAAGCGUUGUCCGGAUUUAUUGGGCGUAAAGCGAGCGCAGGCGGUUUCUUAAGUCUGAUGUGAAAGCCCCCGGCUCACCCGGGGAGGGUCAUUGGAAACUGGGAGACUUGAGUGCAGAAGAGGAGAGUGGAAUUCCAUGUGUAGCGGUGAAAUGCGUAGAUAUAUGGAGGAACACCAGUGGCGAAGGCGGCUCUCUGGUCUGUAACUGACGCUGAGGCUCGAAAGCGUGGGGAGCAAACAGGAUUAGAUACCCUGGUAGUCCACGCCGUAAACGAUGAGUGCUAAGUGUUUGGAGGGUUUCCGCCCUUCAGUGCUGCAGCUAACGCAUUAAGCACUCCGCCUGGGGGAGUACGACCGCCAAGGUUGAAACUCAAAG
rnacentral:rRNA from 1 species